rnacentral:rRNA from 1 species
GAACUCCGAAGUUAAGCGUGCUUGGGCGAGAGUAGUACUAGGAUGGGUGACCUCCUGGCAAGUCCUCGUGUUGCAUUCC